rnacentral:rRNA from 1 species
AAGGGUGCAGGGCGGAUGCCUUGGCACUAGGAGCCGAUGAAGGACGUGAUAAGCUGCGAUAAGCUUCGGGGAGUUGCACGUAAACUUUGAUCCGAAGAUUUCCGAAUGAGGAAACUCACUUAGAGUAAUGUCUAAGUAUCAUUAAGUGAAUACAUAGCUUAAUGAGGGGAACUCAGGGAACUGAAACAUCUAAGUACCUGAAGGAAGAGAAAGAAAUUCGAUUCCGUAAGUAGCGGCGAGCGAACGCGGAUUAGCCCAAACCAAUAAAGUUUUCUUUAUUGGGGUUGCGGACAUAUCAUAACGAAGAGGUAUCGUAAUUGAAGAGGUUUGGAAAGACCCACCACAGAAGGUAAUAGUCCUGUAUGUUAAACGAGAAGACUUUAGAUAUGAUCCAGAGUACCACGGGACACGUGAAACCCUGUGGGAAGCAGGAGGGACCACCCUCCAAGGCUAAAUACUACCUAGUGACCGAUAGCGUAUAGUACCGUGAGGGAAAGGUGAAAAGAACCCCGGGAGGGGAGUGAAAUAGAACCUGAAACCCUGCACUUACAAGCUGUGGAAGCACAUUUCUUGUGUGACCGCGUACUUUUUGUAGAACGGGCCAACGAGUUACGUUAAGUAG